CUCCGGCGCCGCCCGCCGGCCCUGCCCUCCCGCCUCAGCGCCCGCGGCCGUCAGCACCGCCCCCCCCCCCCCCCCCCCCCCCCCGCCCCCCCGGCCCCGCCCUCCUCCCCACCGACCCCCACCCCGCCCCGCCCUCCUCCCGGUCCUCCCCCGCCCCGCCCUCGUCCCGCCCCCAGCCCGCCUCCAGCCGGUUUCGCUGCGGCCCCCGGGCAGGCCCUGCGCGUCAGCGAGGCGCGUGCGUGAGCGCGCGAGCUUGCGGGGCGGGGGCGCGCGCCUGCGGCGGCGCCUGCGGUGUGGCUGCCGCCGUGUGCGCACGUGCACCCAAUGGAGACGGAGCUUUUCUCGCUCAGCCUGCGGCGACCCAGGGGAAUGCCGGGAGGGCGGGGUGGCUAUCUCUGGCGCUGUCAGGACAGGAAGAGGCUCCACCUACUGCCCGGAAGGGGGAACUGGCUGACGCGGCGCUGCUGUUCCUGCACCAGGCACCCAGGGCUUGCGGGCCCCCGCCCCGGGGGAGUAAGGAACUCUCGAUUCUUCCUGAAUGAUACCGGCUCAGCACAGACAACUUGUGCAUCUUUGGUGAAAAGGGACCUCAAUGUCAGCUGCAGUUUGCCAGGGCAACCAGACUGCCUGAGCAUGGACCAGGGGAGGUGAAAAUGGCUGGACCCCCUGCGUGGGAAGGAAGGCUUCUCCCUGCGGGGCAUGCACUGUGGCACGCAAGGUGAGCAGGCUGUCCCGGGCAGCUUGUCUGCUGUCUGCGGCAGUGUGUCUGUCUGUCUGUCUGCUGUCUGGGGCAGCUUGUCUGCUGUCUGCGGCAGUCUGUCUGCUGUCUGCGGCAGUGUGUCUGUUUGUCUGCUGUCCGGGGCAGUUUGUCUGUCUGUCUGCUGUCCGGGGCACUUUGUCUGUCUGUCUGUCUGCUGUCUGGGGCAGUUUGUUGUCUGUGCAGGGCACCAACCCCCUCUCUUUCUAGGAGCCUGGCACACAGGAGGUGCUCAGUAAAUGUUUGCUAAAUGACUCAACUUAUUUCAGUAUCUUAUUUUUUCCUGCUGGGGGUGGUGGAGGUGCCGGAAUAAUAUUCAACUCCAAAAAUGUAAAUUAAGCAUCCGUAUGGCUUAGACAGGCCAGGAGCCUCCUGCCGUGGACAAGCCCAGGGGAGAGGCUUCACCGAGAGGCUGCCUGC
rnacentral:lncRNA from 1 species